CUAACAGAGAUUCAUGUUAGUAAAGCCUGCUCAAGUAUAAUAAAUAGCCGCAGAACCCUGUGCUAAGGUAGCAUAAUAAUUUGCCUUUUAAUUAAAGGCUAGCAUGAAAGGUAUCACAUAUUGAUAACUUUAUUAAUUUAACAAUUUUAAAUUAACCUUCUAGUAAAAAGGCUAAAAUAUUUUAGGGGGACGACAAGACCCUGACAAACUUCACAUUUAUGUUGUGCUGGGGUGGCAAAAAAACAUUAUCUUUCUUAAUAAAACAAAACAUAAAAAUUAUAUAUUUCAUACAAGUUACUGCAGGGAUAACAGCAUAAUUUUUUCUUAGAGAUCUUAUUGAAGAAAAAGAUUGUGACCUCGAUGUUGAAUUAGGUAUCUAUAGAGAGCAAAAUCUUUACAAGUAAGUCUGUUCGACUUUUAAUAACCUACAUGAUUUGAGUUCAGACCGGCGCGAGCCAGGUCGGUUUCUAUCUCCUUUUAAAAAUUUUUAGUACGAAAGGAACAAAAUUUUAAUAUUCAAUUUC
rnacentral:rRNA from 1 species